rnacentral:rRNA from 1 species
AACUUUCAACAAUGGAUCCCUUGGUUCUGGCAUCGAUGAAGAACGCAGCGAAAUGCGAUAAGUAGUGUGAAUUGCAGACUUUAGUGAAUCAUCGAAUCUUUGAACGCACAUUGCGCCCCUUGGUAUUCCAUUGGGCAUGCCUGUUCGAGCGUCAUUU